rnacentral:rRNA from 1 species
CUUAAGCAUAUCAAUAAGCGGAGGAAAAGCAACAGGGAUUGCCCUAGUAACGGCGAGUGAAGCGGCAACAGCUCAAAUUUGAAAUCUGGCCUCUUUGGGGUCCGAGUUGUAAUUUGCAGAGGGCGCUUUGGUGUUGGCAGCGGUCCAAGUUCCUUGGAACAGGACGUCACAGAGGGUGAGAAUCCCGUACGUGGUCGCUAGCCCUCACCGUGUAAAGCCCCUUCGACGAGUCGAGUUGUUUGGGAAUGCAGCUCUAAAUGGGAGGUAAAUUUCUUCUAAAGCUAAAUACUGGCCAGAGACCGAUAGCGCACAAGUAGAGUGAUCGAAAGAUGAAAAGCACUUUGGAAAGAGAGUUAAAAAGCACGUGAAAUUGUUGAAAGGGAAGCGCUUGCAGCCAGACUUGCCUGUAGUUGCUCAUCCGGGUUUUUACCCGGUGCACUCUUCUGCGGGCAGGCCAGCAUCAGUUUGGGCGGUUAGAUAAAGGUCUCUGUCAUGUACCUCUCUUCGGGGAGAACUUAUAGGGGAGACGACAUGCAACCAGCCUGGACUGAGGUCCGCGCAUCUGCUAGGAUGCUGGCGUAAUGGCUGUAAGCGGCCCGUCUUGAAACACGGACCAAGGAGUCUAACAUCUAUGCGAGUGUUUGGGUGUCAAGCCCGAGCGCGUAAUGAAAGUGAACGGAGGUGGGAACCUUUCGGGGUGCACCAUCGACCGAUCCUGAUGUCUUCGGAUGGAUUUGAGUAAGAGCAUAGCUGUUGGGACCCGAAAGAUGGUGAACUAUGCUUGAAUAGGGUGAAGCCAGAGGAAACUCUGGUGGAGGCUCGCAGCGGUUCUGACGUGCAAAUCGAUCGUCAAAUUUGGGCAUAGGGGCGAAAGACUAAUCGAACUAUCUAGUAGCUGGUUCCUGCCGAAGUUCCCCUCAGGAAAAAUAACAACCAGCUACAAGAUGGUUCGAUAAGUCUUUCGCCCUAUGCCCAAAUUUGACGAUUGAAUUGCAGU